AUUGAACGCUGGCGGCAGGCCUAACACAUGCAAGUCGAACGAGCGGCGGACGGGUGAGUAAUGUAUGGGGACUGCCUGAUAGAGGGGGAUAACUACUGUAAACGGUGGCUAAUACCGCAUACUAUCGGAUAACCCAUAUGGGAUUAGCUAGUAGGUGGGGUAAAGGCUCACCUAGGCGACGAUCCAUAGCUGGGCUGAGAGGAUGAGCAGCCACACUGGGACUGAGACACGGCCCAGACUCCUACGGAGGCAGCAGUGGGGAAUAUUGGACAAUGGGCGAAAGCCUGAUGGAGCCAUGCCGCGUGUAUGAAGAAGGUCUUAGGGUUGUAAAGUGCUGUUAGCGGGGAAGCGUUACCCGCAGAAGAAGCCACGGCUAACUACGUGCCAGCAGCCGCGGUAAUAC
rnacentral:rRNA from 1 species